GCCGGACCCCCGAGGCGCUCUUGUAAAGCGUAGGUCGGGGGUUCGAGUCCCCCCUCCGGCU
rnacentral:tRNA from 1 species